AUGUUGUUUCUGUGUGCUCAGGGUCGAGCAGGCCAACAUGGUCCCCCUGGUGUACCUGGAAUAGUGGUAGGGGAAUUGAAUUUGAGAAGAUUGAGUCCAGAUUUAUUUAGUUUACACUUUAUUGAUUUGAUCAUAUAUACUUUGCUAUUUCUGCAGGGUUUUAGAGGUCCAGUUGGUGCAGAGGGACCAGAAGGAAAGCCUGGGUGUUUCUGGUUCUGUUGGAAGCCCAGGGGAUAAAGGACUUGAUGUAUGUUUCUCCUCAUCAACCAAAUUAUUCCGUGAGAUAUAUUAGUCAGUUGAAAUCAGACUGCUGCUAUAAUCAAAGCUUGUAAAGACUGGUCAAUAAUGAUAACAGAUGGUUCUUUAAAAGAGCUAUUACCAACAUUAGACCUAAGAAAGAGGAGAAACACUUUAUACAGGCAUGUCAAGGUCAGAAAGAUGAAAGAGUAUUAAACUUUACAAGGUCUUAAACAUCCAGUUAGGUUGGUUCUUCUCUCAUGCAGGAAUGAGCUGUUUCAGCAUGACAGCAAGAGUCUGAAACGUGUUUUAGUGAAGUGACAUACAGCCAAGUAUGGUGUCCCAUACUCAGAAUUCGUGCUCUGCAUCAAUAUAUAUAUGAUUCAAUUUACCAGUUUUCUAAAUGGAGUAAACAGGGUCAUGUCACAAAUUUGAUUAGUGGCUUAGAAACACUUCACAAUUAUGAGGCGCCGCGUAGGAUUUAAAUCAAACUUCGCUUAUGAAUACAUGUAUAAAACACGUGCAUAUACACCUAUACAUUACUCACAUAUACAUGCAUACUACGGGACGUUCACAAAUACAUAUAUGAAAUACACAUGCACACGAAUAUAAAAUCGAUACCAAUACAUAUAAUGUUAACAAUGAAUGCAUACACACUUGUGAAUAACUUGUCGUAUCAUAUAAACUUGACGCGUGCAUACACCAAAAGACACUCGCACCUACAUAUAAACUUGAUCCAUGCAUAUACACCUACACACACUCGCGCAUACAUAUAAACUCGCUGCAUACAAACACAACUGCACAUACUCGCAUAUACAUAUAAACUUGAUCCGUGCAUAUACACCUAUUAAACACUCGCACAUAAAUGUAAACUCGAUGCGCGCAUAUAUGGAGUCAAUAUAAUAUCACAUAUAUACGCAAAAAAAUAAAGUUUUGCAAAGGAAAAUAAAGUUUUGCAAACAAAAAUUAAAGUAUUGAGGAAAAUAAUUUUGCUUUUUGCAAACAAAAAUAAGAAUUGCAAAACAUAAAUGAUACCGCGCGAAAGCAAUGAUUUUCCAUUACAAUUUUAUUGCAACACUGAUUUUAUUUGCGUCGUCAGUCUAGUUUGAGCUUGCGCUGCAGUUUUUCCUGUGCGCGAAGAAACAUGAGUAUUCCUUGUUAUUUUCUUUUCUUUCUCUCUCUCUCUCUUUCUUUUUUUUAUUUUCUAUUCCCAGGAGAAAUAUCUAGAAAGCAUUGCUGUCUAGGAGAAACAUUUGAGAUCUCAUUUGAGUUUUUCUCUUGCUAUGUUAUUAAGGUUUGUCUUUAAUUGUCUGAUGUCUGUCAAUAACAUUAAAACAUGUGCUAUGUCAUUUUGAUUGUUUAAGGAUAUAUUAUAUGGAGUCAAUAUAAUAUCACAUAUAUACGCAAAAAAUAAAGUUUUGCAAAAGAAAAUAAAGUUUUGCAAACAAAAAUUAAAGUAUUGAGGAAAAUAAUUUUGCUUUUUGCAAACAAAAAUAAAGAAUUGCAAAACAUAAAUGAUACCGCGCGAAAGCAAUGAUUUUGCAAUACAUAUUUUCCAUGGUCAUAUCUACAAUUUUAUUUGCAACACUGAUUUUAUUUUGCGCGUCAGUCUAGUUUGAGCUUGCGCUGCAGUUUUUCCUGUGCGCUUCAUUUUUCUGCGCGUCUCGCUUUGUGACACUGUUUUGACGUGGGGGUGGAGUCAAGGGGCAGGGGCGUGUACAACAUGCCUCCCUGGAAGUGACGUCAUCGGCCCGAGACGCAGCUCACUGAUCCAGGUACUGUCAUGAUGAGCAGAUGCAUGCGAGUGGAUCACUUCCUUUUAUUCACUAGCAUUAAAACAUGCAUGGUUUCGUUUUAUUAACUUUAUUAACAAAUGUAUAUGUGUAUUAGCAGCGUUUGCUCAAGUUAAAGAAGUUGUUACCAUGCACAUCUGUUGUUUAUUUCUCUCGAUGUGCACUCUUUUACUGGCAUAAAGUUGGCUUGAGGUUGGACGUUCGAUAUUCGCAAAUCUAGGGACCGUCUCUAAAGUUACAUGCGAAACUACUAUACACUUCUCUAACGUCAAUAGCAUGCAAGGAGAAUGACUAACAGUUGAAAACAACUGUUAACUGUUCAUCCAGGUGUCAACUAUAAUGCACACCUUUUAUAUUUUUGAUAAUUAUUAAAUUAUAGCAAUAUUUUACAUAUGAUUUACAGUUUAUUUGAAUAAUUAUGAAAAAUAUGAAUGGUGUGCAUUAUAGUUGACACCUAGAUGAACACUUUAUAGUAUGUUUUAUGAAAUUGAGUAAUUAUGUUCAAAUGCUAUUGAGCUUCAAAUUAUGGCAUAUUUUAAAUUUGAGCCCAUUCGGUAAUGAAAAGUAGCAAUAUUUUACAUUUGAUUUACAGUUUAUUUUAAUAAUUAUCAAAAAAUAUAAAAGGUGUGCAUUAUAGUUGACACCUGGAUGAACAGUUAACAGUUGUUUUCAUGACUGUUAGUCAUUCUCCUUGCAUGCUAUUGACGUUAGAGAAGUGUAUAGUAGUUUCGCAUGUAACUUUAGAGACGGUCCCUAGAUUUGCGAAUAUCGAACGUCCAACGUCAAUACAAAUGAAACUAGCGAAUUAUUCAUUUAUAAUUCUAGUAUUUAUUAUUAUAGGGUUAUUGUUAAAUUCAUCCUCUAAAGUGCACUUUAAUGAAAAGUGUAAUGAAAAGUAGCAAUAUUUUACAUAUGAUUUACAGUUUAUUUUAAUAAUUAUCAAAAAAUAUAAAAGGUGUGCAUUAUAGUUGACACCUGGAUGAACAGUUAACAGUUGUUUUCAUGACUGUUAGUCAUUCUCCUUGCAUGCUAUUGACGUUAGAGAAGUGUAUAGUAGUUUCGCAUGUAACUUUAGAGACGGUCCCUAGAUUUGCGAAUAUCGAACGUCCAACGUCAAGCCAACUUUAUGCCAGUAAAAGAGUGCACAUCGAGAGAAAUAAACAACAGAUGUGCAUGGUAACAACUUCUUUAACUUGAGCAAACGCUGCUAAUACACAUAUACAUUUGUUAAUAAAGUUAAUAAAACGAAACCAUGCAUGUUUUAAUGCUAGUGAAUAAAAGGAAGCGAUCCACUCGCAUGCAUCUGCUCAUCAUGACAGUACCUGGAUCAGUGAGCUGCGUCUCGGGCCGAUGACGUCACUUCCAGGGAGGCAUGUUGUACACGCCCCUGCCCCUUGACUCCACCCCCACGUCAAAACAGCGUCACAAAGCGAGACGCGCAGAAAAAUGAAGCGCACAGGAAAAACUGCAGCGCAAGCUCAAACUAGACUGACACGCAAAAUAAAAUCAGUGUUGCAAAUAAAAUUUUAGAUAUGACCAUGGAAAAUAUAUAUUGCAAAAUCAUUGCUUUCGCGCGGUAUCAUUUAUGUUUUGCAAUUCUUUAUUUUUGUUUGCAAAAAGCAAAAUUAUUUUCCUCAAUACUUUAAUUUUUGUUUGCAAAACUUUAUUUUCCUUUGCAAAACUUUAUUUUUUUGCGUAUAUAUGUGAUAUUAUAUUGACUCCAUAGUCUAGAGGCUUGGAGGAAACAGGGUACUGGGC
rnacentral:lncRNA from 1 species